rnacentral:rRNA from 1 species
GAUGAACGCUAGCUACAGGCUUAACACAUGCAAGUCGAGGGGAAACGGCAUCGAAAGCUUGCUUUUGAUGGGCGUCGACCGGCGCACGGGUGAGUAACGCGUAUCCAACCUGCCCAUCACUUGGGAAUAACCUUGCGAAAGUAAGACUAAUGCCCAAUGACAUCCCACGAAGGCAUCCGAAUGGGAUUAAAGAUUUAUCGGUGAUGGAUGGGGAUGCGUCUGAUUAGCUUGUUGGCGGGGUGACGGCCCACCAAGGCAACGAUCAGUAGGGGUUCUGAGAGGAAGGUCCCCCACAUUGGAACUGAGACACGGUCCAAACUCCUACGGGAGGCAGCAGUGAAGAAUAUUGGUCAAUGGGCGAGAGCCUGAACCAGCCAAGUAGCGUGCAGGAUGACGGCCCUAUGGGUUGUAAACUGCUUUUAUAAGGGAAUAAAGUGGGUCACGUGUGACUUUUUGCAUGUACCUUAUGAAUAAGGACCGGCUAAUUCCGUG